rnacentral:lncRNA from 1 species
GCUGAUCAAGCCAUGACAAACAAUCUUCUGCAUCUGCAGAAUCCCCAAAUUCUUUUUCUUCAGAAAUCAAUAGCCCGAUGUAGUAGACAUGAGGAGUGGGAGCAUUAGGAACACAAAGACCUCCAACAAUGGCUUUGAGGACUGCAGGAGGCUCGAGCUCUUCAAACGUGUUGGCUAUGAUCCCAUUAGAUUUGGGAAGGUGGGUGCAGAAGUAGACCAUGUCCCAAUAAGCAGGGUCAUCUCGGUCAAGCAUUGGCUCAGGCAUGUGAGGGGCAUUCAGGGGGGACUUCAACCCGGGAAACUCUAAAACAGUCUCGGUCAAAUCCUUGAAGCUAUUGGUGGUUUGUUCCCCGAUUUUCGGAAAGUACAGAAAAACCGCAAAAGCUGCAGCUCCAGAGGUGUAAAAGUCGUAGGUGGGAAUGCCGAGUUCCUUCACCAUUGGCAGCGCAGAGGAGCAGAAGAUGUCGAUGAUAAAAGCACGAAUGGCUGAAGAUUUAGAGAUCUCUUGGAGGGCAAGGCAGACAUAAGGAUCAUUCCGGCGAAUGAAAUCAGACGCUAUGACCACGACACUGAUGGGAAUUAAUGUAAUUUUAUUUUCAACGCGAGGAAAUUGGUGGAAGGAGAUGGAAGGAUAGGCUCGGGAGAUGCGCUGGAUGUAGGCGGGGAUGCUUGAAAUUGAUUGUCACGUUGUAAGAGACAAACUGCAAGCUGGUGUAAUUUCUCCUUCCUAGAAGAUGAGCUGGCAGAUAUAUUUACGCAGGCUUUGGAAGGAGAUGCCUUCAAUUACUUAAGUGGCGAGUUGGAACUUCACAACAUUCAAUCUCCAAUUGGAGGGAGAGUGUUGGAAAUCAAAUCUUAUAAUUGAAGAAUUAUAAAUAUUGUAAUUGUCUUUCUUGUAUUAGACCUCCAAAAUUUAUGGGUCAAACCUGGAUUGUAACCUUAAUUAGGAAUUAUGCUAGAAUAGGAGAUUGUAAACCUAGUAUAUAAAGGAUAGUUUUAUGUACAACAAGAUAUCAAUAACACAACAUAUUAUUCCAUCUCCUUUAUUCUUUACAAACCUUUAACUCCUUAUAUGAAUAAGUCAUUUCUUCUUAAAGUUAUGUCAAAAUUUCACAUUUUAUUGAAUUAUUUUUUUAUAUUAAGGGAUUCGAACUCGAGUGCAAAGUGAAAAGCACAUUCGCUCAAAUCAACUUAACUAAGCUCAUAUCUGCGUGAAUUUAGUUAUUCUAAAUAGUGAAAAAACAUAAAAUGGGACGAUACAUCAUAUUGCGUACACACAACUCUCACAAUACCACUCAUGAAAAAUAUUGAUAAUUGAUUGUGUAAUUCAAUAAAGGGACAACAAAACUACCUUAACUUUCAAAAGAUCAGAAAAUUGUGGGGCAUUGAACUGAGUUCUUUUGGGAUAGUUGGGCCUAAUAUAAUUGUUUAGGUAGUCAUUGUUGCCCAUUCCAACAAAGAAGAUGCAGUUAAUCGCCUGGGCCACGUCAUCUGCCCCGAGAUUGUCUGUAAUCUGAUCAAGGGUACUCUGGAAGUUGCUUAUUUGUUCACCAAAAGGUAUUCUUCCCACCUGACACCAAAACAAUUGUUACCAAACAGUGGAAUAUUGAAACACAUGCUUGUGGUUGCAGGCUGUAUAGUUUAGAUAUCUUGGAACAUGGCAAAAGAUUGAACUUGUGUUAUGUAAGGCACUUAGGCUCCUGCUCUAAUCCAUUUAAAUUCAAAUUCCUCAACUAAAAAUAUCAGGAAAAAUAAAAUAAAAUAAAUUUUGUGGAUGAAGUGGUUAAUUAAUUACAAAGUUUGUGCCAGUGAUAUCAAGGAUUCCAGCUGCAGCAGAUGCAUAAUUGACUCCAUGAAGCACUUGGUCUCCAGAAGCUUCAGAAAAAGGAGGAAUCAAGGGAAGUCCUAGCAGUUCAGCUUCAUAUUUAUGUUAAAAUAAUGUACAUCAAAAUAUCUUGGAACACCCAAGAGAAACAAAUUUCUUUUUAAAAAAAAAAUUAUAUAUUUUAAAAAUACAAAAACACCAAUGUUGAAAUAUUGCCUUGAUUUAUAUCCAAAUUGGGAAUGAAAAGGCCCACCUUUAUAUGUAAAAAUGGUGGGCCAUAGCAGAGAGACAAAUUCCAUCUUUCUCAUACAGACUACAGCACAUACCAACAUUACCAAAGGGUAAUCAAUAAUAUAUCUACAAAUUAAGGAUGGCUUUCAAAUCACUUAAUUUAUGUUUAAUUAAAGACCCGAUUUUAAAAAAUAAAUAAUAAAUAUUGUUUUACCAACCCAAGAUGUUUCUUGCUCCCACACAUAAAAAGAUUAAAGGGUUAACUGGUGAUUUGCCCACUGAAUUUGUAUUUAACUUUCAAUUAACUCCCUAUUCUUUUUUUAAGAAAAUUAAGGAUAUGAACCUUCUUUUUUCCUCCAAUUUCUCCCAUACCAUCUAAUCCUCAACAUUUCAUCCAAUUUUCAAUUAAAUCAUUUUUAGAAAAAUAGUUUUUUGGAAAAAAAUUGAAGAAAAAGAGGAAAAUUGACCAAAAAAGAAGAAGAAUAAAAAGACACUAAACUGCUUUUGAAUCUUGAUCUGCAAUUCUUAACAUUGUUCUUCCCGCAUUUUCUGACAUUUCUUUCUUUCUAAAUAAAAAAAUCCAUAUUUUUGUUGUUGAUAAUUUCAGCCCAGUAAGCAGAUAGAGGAUGCCAAGCUUUGCAAGCGAUUUCCAAACAACAUUGCAAGAAUUCCAGAAAGUUCAGCAGCUCGCCUCUGAGCGCGUGUCUCUCUGAUGGGGAUCGGGAUCCAGACAUAGGUCACCAACCACAUAUACGAGCACCGAAAUCUAGGGCUAGUACAAACUCACAUAUAUCGUAGUAAAUCCAUGCCACAAAUAAACUAUUUUAUUAAUAAUCAACAUCCACCCCCUACAACUAUUAUAUUAGCUUUAUUUAUAGGCUUUACAAGACUUGGGCACCAAGGCUACUUGGUCCAAAAGUAAACUAAUUAAUUUAUAAAAUCACACAUAAAUAAUAAAAGAUAUCCUAAAACUACCUAAAUAAGAAAAUAACAGUAUAUCAUGAAAUAACUAAUUAAAUGCUAAUAUCUAUCUUGAUCCACUCCUAUGCUCCUGCAUCUGACUCCCAUGGUUGGAAAGAAUUCGUCCUCGAAUUCAAGCCUUUGAUUGAGGAAAAUCCAAAUAGAAUCUUCAAUUGCUUCAUAUUAAUUUUGGAUCUUUUAGCAUCCAAUUGAAACCUUCCUUUCCAAAUAAAAAGAUAUUUGGAAUAUUUCAUUCUUCUUGGCUUCUUCUUACUCCCUCUAACAAUGCAAAUGUUUCUCUCUAGAAUCUUCAACUGAUUGAAAAAAUCAACCAGAGUUUUGGCAACCUUCCAAGUGAAAAUAUGAAUGCCCAUAAAAUAAAUAAUAUAUUCGAAAGUUUUCUCAAUUCUCAUCUCUUCACUGUUCUUGUCAAUAAAUUGCUUAUCAAAAUUGCUUUGAACACCCAAACAAUUUUCACUGCAAUUUUCACAGUUGCAAGGAUCAAAUAUUGGAGGUAAAUCCAAAUUUAAUAACUUUGAUGAAUAACAAGAUGCACCAAAAUUACCAAAUUCAUUUAUAUCUUCAAAGACACAAUAAGAAUAACCGUGCCCCUCUUCACUUGACUCACACACACAUCCCUCCCCGUCAAAACUCUUACCUAUCUGGGUUCAAGCUUCAAUGCGAGCAAUGCGUUCUGUAAGUUGCCGUAGCAUCCUCCUAAGUUCCUCCAUGUCAUUGUAGUUGUUAACACGACCCUCCAUCCAAAAACCUCCCCAAUAAAGCAGAUCUUGAGCCAUAGCUCUGAUACCAAUUGAUGGGGAUCGGGAUCCAGACAUAGGUCACCAACCACAUACACGAGCACCGAAAUCUAGGGCUAGUGCAAACUCACAUAUAUCGUAGCAAAUCCAUGCCACAAAUAGAUUAUUUUAUUAAUCAUCAACAUCCACCCCCUACGACUAUUACAUUAGCCUUAUUUAUAAGCUUUACAAGACUUGGGCACCAAGGCUACUUGGUCCAAAAGUAAACUAAUUAAUUUAUAAAAUCACACAUAAAUAAUAAAAGAUAUCCUAAAACUACCUAAAUAAAAAAAUAACAAUAUAUCAUGAAAUAACUAAUUAAAUGCUAAUAUCUAUCUUGAUCUACUCCUAUGCUCCUGCAUCUCUCUCUCACACACACACAAAACACUCUGAGAAUCUGAAAUUGUGAAGAGUAUGUUGGCAACGUUCAGGACAAUUCCCUAGAUCGAAUGAGACUGCUCACAUGUCUCCCUUUUCAAUUCAUCAAUAUUUGGUGAAAACUUAAACUUGGAGCAGCUCACCAAAUAAUUUGUUGAACACCAUUCGACCAUACUUCCUAGAGUAAGGAUCGGCUGUAUAUAUGUAUAUAAUAGGGCUUGUAAUCCUUUGCCAACACACCACCGGCACUGCUAGGAUUCCCAACUCCACUACUAGGAUUCAACCCCCUUCCCCAGCUCUAUCUCCUCCAUGAACCCCAUCAACCCUAAAUCCCCCCCGCUUCCUCCCAUCCCCACGCGAGAUCCACCCCCAGCCCUUGCCCCCAAGACCCAGACCCAUCCCAUUCCCCAGCCCCACGUGAGCAUGCACAGAGAGAGAGAGAGAGAUAAUUGCAAUUUUCUGUUUUUUAUUUUAUUUUUAAUUUUUAAUGUACAAAAUGACUAUUUUGCUCUCAUUUUUAACGGCAAAUUAGAUGAAAUGUUGUGGAUUUAAACGGAGAGGGGAAAUUAGUGGGAAAAAAAAAAGUUUAAGUCCUUAAUUUUCUAUUAAAAAAAAAGUAUAGGGGUCAAUUGAAACUAAAGUACAAAUUCAAGGGGCAAAACAUCAGUAUACUCAAAGAUUAAAAUAUAUAUAUAUAUAUAUAUAUAUAUAAACUUUUGUGACUUAAAUUCAAUCAUAAUAUACUGAAAUACUGAUCUCACAGCAAAACAUAUUACACUGAAAGCAUCAACAAAUAUUAACAUGUAUGCUAAUUACACUACAAAAUCAAAGAAGAGGACCUAGUGGAGAGACCUAUUUGUAACCAUUGGAAAAACGACCGGUAGGGCCACCAUUGAAAUCAAUGCCAUAGGGAAAAUAGUUAGCCUUUUGCAAAUGAUGGGAUGUUGUUGUUGCCAUUGUCAAUCAAAGAGUCCCCAAACACAAACAUGGCAGGCACCAUUUCUGCCCUCCUCCCACCACCACCCACUUGACCUUGUGCUGCUGCUGCUGCUGCAGCCGCUGAUGAAAAGUUCACAUCUUGGCCCCAAAACACCCCACCCAGCACCAUCAACCACAAAACCACCAAAGAAAAAACCCUAAUUGGGGCCUUCCUCAUGAAUGAAUUAAUAUGUUUUGCUUGUUUUGAGAUGAUGAAAAUUUGGGAGAAAGUGGGAGAGCCACCUGUGUUGAAAAUGAAUGAGCUUUUUGAGUAUUGGCAAGAGCAUGCAAGGGAUGAUUUAAUAGGCGAGGCAAGGCGGUGGUUGUGAAUGGAAUAAAUGUUUUCGCCUGUUAUCUUACGUGCAGGAAUUGAAGUAAAAGCCCAUUUUUGUUCAAGGAUAAAUAAGAGUUUACUUUCCCAGCAUUGUGCUGCAUGCAGGUUCAAAUUCCCUUGUAUUUUUUCUUUUUUUUCUUUUUUUAAUUUUGGUCUUUGGUUAUUAACGGGGCCCUAGGCCCAAGCAAAACCAAUAGGCACAUGAGACCAAAGUUCAAGGUAGUUUGCUUUUAUCACCUUGCUAACUUGGGGUAUGAGUUACUCUUGGGGCUUCAUAACUAUGAGUCUGCUCCUAUAUCCCUCUCAACCUUGUUGUUGGAAGAGCCCAUAGUAGGGCUGUGCCUUGUUAGCUUUCUUUUUUCUUUUCUGGCUUCGGCCUGCCUUGUAACUGAAAAAAAAAAAAAAAAGGUAGUUUGCUUUUAUCACAUGUUAAUAGUUAUUACAAUGCUUCUUUCAAAUAAAAAAAAUUGUUAGUAAUUAUGAUGCUGCGAAAGGCCCCAAGUGAAACCCCCUCCCCUAAUUUUGACUAUCACUUAUAAUUUAAAAAAUAUAAAAAAAUAAUUAUUUCGUUGCUAUCUCUAGUCUUUUGGUAAGAGCAUUCACAAUGCACUUCCUAACCCACUUCAGACAAAAAAUCAAAUUAGUUUGCUUUUUUCUUUUUUGGCCAAAGGGGAGGGAAACACAUAGUUACAAUAAGUUUUUGAACUCAUAACUACUUAAGAACACACUAAAAAUUUAGUUCAAUCCAACUAACGACGCAUUAGUCAAAAUAAUUUGCUUUUACCACAUGUUAAUUAUUAUGAUGCUCUCUCUUGUCUUUUAUAUUUUGGUAAACGUGCUACAAAAAAAGUCAGCAAUAAACACCUAUUUUUGUUGUGACUAUUAACAGUAACAGUCACCAUUAUUGGUGAGUAAGCCCUAAAGUAACGUGACAGUUACGAAUUUUGACUUGGUGAUAUAUGAAUAGCGUGAUUCUUGACAAAAUUUAUUUGAUUGUCAAUUGCCUCUGAAGUGCAUGGGGUCAUAACACGUCAAAUCAACUUUAGCUUUAUAUUUUAAUAUAUCUAAGCCUUAAAUCCUUAUUUUAACAGCUUCGAGACAGACCUUAAGCCUUAUUGCGAGAAUGGGCGGUUAUUAUUAUGAGUUGUAAUAUUUUAUUGUGUACUGGAACUUACAAGUACAUUGGAAGUUUGAAAGAGUGUAAUAUUUUAUUGCGUAGAAGCUUGAAAGAGUGUAAUAUUUUAUUGUGUACUGGAACUUACAAGUACAUUGGAAGCUUGAAAGAGUGUAAUAUUUUAUUGAUUUGAGUUCUAGUUAGCUUUGUUUUUAUUAUAUUUAAUUCAACAGUCACCAAAGGAUACGUAGUGACGACGUAAGUUCAAGGCAGGGAGAAUUAUGUAAAGACACCUAGACCUAGCUGCCAACAAGCCCUUUUAUUAAUGUUCUUGUUUUGGAUUUCAACCUUUCAAUACAAUCUAAUACAUUUCUAUCAACAGUGAGCUUUAGGACAUGUAAUUUCAAUCAACAGUGAGCUUUGAUUUUCUAAUUUCCUUCUAGUGUUGUUGUUAAGAUUUGAUUUGAUUUGAUAUCAAGAAUCUUUCUUACAAUCUUUUUCUUUAAUAAAAUAGAAUGAUAAUCAUUGUAUAUUACACUCAGUUUUACCAGAUGAAAGCAUAUUGUUUACAAACUGAGAAUACAUAAAUUUGAUGUGUUACAUUAUUCACACUCAAACAAAUUACGUAUACGUAAAAUCAAAACGGAUGGAGCCAAAUGGUGAAGUAGAUAGGAAGCACCCAAAUUUAAUUGCUAGAAAUAUAUGGAAGGUUCAAUAAUUUCUAAUGGAUGCUAUUUUUUUUUUUGUUGAAAAUAAGUGACAACAUAUUAUUGAUGAACAAACAAAAGUACAAAGCAACGAUGUGACGAAUAUUGGCAAAUCUUCUUCAGUGACCAAAUAGCUAAACAAAGGACAAAGACAUUUACUUAAAUGUUGAAAAUGAAAAUAAGAUAAUCUGAACACUUAAAGUGCACCACCACCAACUGAGCAAAUGGACAAUUUGAAGCACCUAUAAUGGUGUUUCCAACAAAGAGAGGGGCAGCUGCACCUCCUUACGCCUUAAUAGGUCCGCCACUUAUCCCAGAAUAUGAAACACAAUAAGAUGGACAAGAAGAUGCACGCUUGGUAUUUUCCUUCAUUUUUUUAUUCACCAAGUGCAAAGUGCAAAUUCAUAACUUAUGCAAUGCUAUUAACAAAGUUAACCAAGUUUCUAGUGGAUGAACCAGACUCACUCCAAGCAGCCAAAGCCAUCUCUCCCAUUUUCCUGCUCCUUUCUCUAAGUUCUUUCCCUUUUUCCGACUCCAUCAACUCCCUAACGCUUUUCUCCAAUUCAUCCCCAAACACAAACCCAUCUUCCUCUCUCUGCUUCACAGCAAUUGCCAUUUCCAUGUCCUUCACCAAAACACUCCUAUUCACAUGUUGCUCUGCAUAGAGCGGCCAUGCCACCAUCGGCACGCCAGCAAUCACCGCUUCAAGCACCGAGUUCCACCCACAAUGCGUCACGAACCCGCCCACCGAUUCUUUCUUCAACACUGCCACCUGCGGCGCCCAUGACUUCACCACUAAGCCCUUAUCUUUGGUCCUCUCCAGGAACCCUUCUGGCAACAAACCCUCCAAAUCAAAGUCAUGUACUCCAAGAACCUGCUUGGUUUUCUCAUCAAGGGGAGGCUUCUUCACCACCCACAAAAACCUAUGUCCACUCUUCUCCAACCCAUACGCUAUCUCCUUCAAUUGAGCCCCUGAGAAUGAUCCUCUGCUUCCAAAACAAAGAAACACCACACUUCUACUGGGCUGCUGAUCAAGCCAUGACAAACAUUCUUCUGCCUCUUCAGAAUCCUUAGAUUCUUCUUCUUCAGCAAUCAACGGCCCGAUGUAGUAGACAGGGGGAGUGGGAGCAUCAGGAACACAAAGACCUUCAGCAAUGGCUUUGAGGAUUGCAGGAGGCUCGAGCUCUUCAAACGUGUUGGCUAUGAUCCCAUUAGAUUUGGGAAGGUGGGAGCAGAAGUAGACCAUGUCCCAAUACGAAGGGUCGUCUCGGUCAAGCAUUGCCUCAGGCAUGUAUGUGGCAUUCAGGGGAGACUUCAAACCGGGAAACGUCAAAACAGUCUCAGUCAGAUCCUUGAAGCUCUUGGUGGUUUGUUCCCCGAUUUUCGGGAAAUACAGAAAAACUGAAAGAGCUGCAGCUCCAGAGGUGUAAAAGUAGUAGGUGGGUAUGCCGAGUUCAUUUGCCAUUGGCAAAGCAGAGGAGCAGAAGAUGUCGAUGAUAAAAGCGUGAAUGGCUACAGAUUUAGAAAUUUCUUGGAGGGCAAGGCAGACAUGAGGAUCAUUCCGGCGAAUGAAAUCGAACAUUAUGGCAGCGCCGCUGCAGCCAACUAAUGUAUUUUCAUUUUGAACCCGAGGGAAUUGGCGGAAGGAGAUGGAAGGAUAGGCUAGGGAGAUGCGCUGGAUGUAGGCGGGGAUGCUUGGAGUGUCAACAAAACAGCCACAAGUGUAGAGAAUGGUAAUAGAGAAUUUUCCAGGGUAACGAUUGAGAAUGAGCUUGCCUAGCUCAACCAUGGAGAUUAUGUGCCCCAUUCCUGGAGCUGCGUAGAGGACUAUUGUAUGUUCUCCCAUGGCUUUGGUUGGUUUGUGUUUCACUUCUCUGGUUUUUUGUUUUCGCUUCUCAUUGCUCAAAGCUUUUAAGGGGGAAGAGCUUUUGAAAUACUCUUCACUCAAAGUAGAUGGAAAUCCAAGUCUGAAAGUUAGGUUAAGCACGAGGCAAGGCACAGGUUGUACACCAAAUCGACCAUAGCAAAUGUUAAGUUGACAUUGAUUGGCUGAUUCUGACCACUAUCAUUUUCGAAAGAAAAAGGGAAAUGGUGUUUGAAUGGAAUAACCAGGUUCUCACAAGCAUGUGCAUGUAUUACAUUUUCCACACUCAAACAAGGUUGUCAAAUCGAUAAUCGAAAUGGUAAAUAGAACCAUGAAAGUGACGAGAAAUAUCAUAAUUUUUCUAUGGGCUGAUUUUAAUGUUAAGAGUGGCAAGCUGCUGUAUGUUCUUGGGGUAAACCUGGCUCAGGUCCCCAUUGAUAGCUUUCGACCCAAUGAUGUUAGCUGCUGCUGUUUGGUAGAAAGCAUCCCAGAAUAUGUACUGGUCUCGAUUCAGGCAUGGUACUCCUCUAAAACCUAAGAAAUUUAUUACAUUUAGAACGGAUACCUUACCACUAAUGAACAAACAUGACAAACUAAGUUCAAGCUUCAGAAAGAUGUCAUCUGUAUAUGCUUAUGAAAAUGUCAUCAGAUAUCUCUGUUGGCCUUUUGGCUGAGACUAGGCACAGAAAGAUAUCAUCAACCAGCCCAGAAGGACCAUUGUAUUUUCUUUCUUUUUCCUCAACUGUGUCAGCCUCAUCUAUCAAACUAGACAAUAACCAUGAUAUUUGCAACAGUUUGGGUGAUCACAACCAAGCUCAAAACAACUCCAGUUUUGUGACAAUUAGCUUCAGAAACCAGCAAAAGUUCCAAGCUCAGAUUCCUAUAAUACUAAAACCACAAAUAUUAAAUCUCCCUGAAGCUUUAACCCCAAAACAUAACAAAAAAACAAUUUAAGCAAACAGACCAAAAAUCUUACUAAUUAGAACCACAAGAAUCCCAUGAAAAAAAACCCCUAGUUUUAGAAACUCCAAAACCCACCUACAAAUUUUAGUUUUUCUUUUCUUUUCUUUUGGGUAAAUAAGAAAACCCACCUACAAAUUUUUUCAAAUGGUUCACAAGACAAAGAGUAAACGUAAAGAAACAUAGAAACGUACGAUUGAGAUUUUUUUUUUUCCUCCUGAGCUUCUAUCCGCAGAAAAACAAGACAAGCAAGGAGAAAGAUGUAAAUUUGUCCUUAGAAGUCAUUUUAUAAAUAGGUAAAUUUAUCUAUAAAAGUUUGAAGAUAAGAUGAAUAGAAAAAUAGGACAAGUGGGUGGAAAAUAGUAGAUGACUUGGCUUGAUCAGACAUUAUCUGAGUUGCUGCUUCAUUUUAACUUGAGCAAAAUAUCCCCAAAAUGUCACUGAAUUCACCGAAAUAUCUGCCCAAAAUCUCAAUAAACUGGAUUGUUGCCAAAUGGCUGGCAUGCUGCUAGUGCUUUACAGAUGGGUAGAUAUAAGCGAUCCCUAGUGAAGGAUGACAUAAACAUCAAAUCAAAUAUCUUUAACACAGUAAUUACUUAUCUUUUAAAUCAACACUGAAUUCAUGGCCCUCUUGACAUAUAAAGUACCACUGAACACACUAAUCAUCACUCUAAUAAAAACCAAAAUAAGAGAGAAGAAAAAGGUAAAAUCUACGAGCUAGUUCCAAGUCCCAACAACUAUGACAAAUGAAGGCAAUACGUUUAAAUUAUAAAAGUUUGAUUUAUUGAAGGAAUUAUAAAGUUUUGAUUGAUAUUUGAACCUGGUUCUACUGCUAUAAUAUUCCUUCGCAUAAUUUGUUAAAGAUAAAAUAAAUUCAAAGACUUCUUUUUUUCAACUUUGAGCUAUUUCAAUUUCAACAUAUAAAAGCUUUGAUUUUCUAAUUUCCUUCUGGUGUGGUUGUUAAGAUUUGAUUUGAUUUGAUAUCAAGAAUCUUCCUUAUAAUCUUUUUCUUUAAUAAAAUAGAAUGAUAAUCUGUAUAUGACACUCAGUUUUACCAGAUAAAAGUAUAGUGUUUACAAACUGAGAAUACAUAAAUUUGAUGUGUUACAUUUUCCACAAUCAAACAAAUUAAGCAUAUAAAGUAAAAUCAAAACGGAUGGAGCCAAAUGGUAAAGUAGAUAGGAAGCACCCAAAUUUAAGGUAAUUUUGUUGAAACUUGAAACUUGAAAGUUAAGGUAGUUUUGUUGUCCCUUUAUUGAGUAUGUCAAGAGGGCCAUGAUUUGAGUGUUGAUUUAAAAGAUAAGUAAUUAUUGUGUUAACAGAUAUUUGAUUUAAAACAAGUCUUUGAAUUUAUUUUAUCUUUAACAUAUUCGGCACAUAUUUGUUUUGUAUUUUUGUUUGUUCGUCAAUAAUAUACCAUUGUCACAUCCCGGAUCAGCUCCGCCGUAGCACGAUAUUGUUCACUUUGGGUCCCCACCCUCACAAUUUUGUUUUUAGGAACUCAUGAGCAACUUCUCAGUGAGUCACAUAUCCUGGGAUUUCUCUAGCUCAAACUCGCUUAACUUCGGAGUUCCCAAGGAAUCCGAAGCCAGAGUUUCCAAAAGGCUUCGUGCUAGAUGGAGGUAAGCAUGUACAUAUAAGGCACAUCACCCCCUCUCUUUUGGUAGAUGUGGGAUGUUACAAUCCACCCCCCUUAGGGGCUCGACGUACUCGUCGGUGCACUCGCACCACACAGUAGAGUGGUUCUGAUACCAUUCUGUCACAUACCAGAUCGUCUCCGUCGUAACACGAUAUUGUUCGCUUUGGGCCCCCGCCCUCACGGUUUUGUUUCUAGAAACUCACAAGCAACUUUCCAGUGGGUCACCUAUCUUGGGAUUGCUCCAGCCCAAACUCGCUUAACUUCGAAGUUCCCAAGGAAUCCGAAGCCAGUGAGUUCCCAAAAGGCCUUGUGCUAGAUGGAGGUGGUAAUGUAUAUAUAAGGCACAUCACCCCUUCUCCGUUGGUUGAUGUGGGAUGUUACAACUAUCGCUUAUUUUCAACCAAAAAAAAAAAGCAACCGUUAGAAAUUAUUGAACCUUCCAUAUAUUUCUAGCAACAUAGAAGGUUCAACAAUUUCUAACGGUUGUUUUGUUUUGUUUUUUUUUUUUUGGGACAAUAAGCGAUAGUAUAUUAUUGAUGAACAAACAAAAGUACAAAGUAACUAUGUGUCGAAUAUGGGUAAAUCUUCUCCAGUGACCAAACAGCUAAGCAAAGGACAAAGACAUUUACUUAAAUGCUGAAAAUGGAAAUAAGGUAAUUUGUACACCUGGAAUGCACCACCACUAGUUGAGCAAAAAGGUAAUUUGAAGCACCUAUAAUGUUUUUUUCAAAGAAAUGAGCACCUCCUUGCACCUUAAUAUAGGGGUGCACAUUAUUACCAAAAACCCGAUCGAACCCGACCGGUUUUGGCUGGUUGGUCCGGUUUUUAAUUCAAAUUAUUGAAAUCGAUAGGAAAAUCUACCGAUCCGAUUGUGAACCGAUUUUGAACCGAUUUGAAUUCUUUUAAACCCGUGAAACGGGAACCAGACCGAUUUCAUUAAAUUACCUAAAAAUUUAAACAAAUACCAUGAUGGGGAAUCGUACUCUGUUUAAAGUUUAUAUACAAAGCCCAAAUACCACUGGACUGAUGUGCUUUCUUGUCUAAUGUAUGUAUAAUUGUAUUAUUUAUUACAAUCUAAAACAAAUUUUUUUUUUAAGUUAGGGUUUUCCCUGACCCACAUACUCUCCUUUUCCUUUUCUUUUUUCCCACCCCAGCUGACAUCCCUUCUUUCUUCUCUCUCUCUCCAUCUUUUUUUCUUUCCUCUUCUUCCUGCCGCUGCAUCUUCUUCUUCUUCUUCUUUCCCUCUUCUCUCCAUCUUCUUCUUCUUUCUCCCCAUACACUCAACCAGGAAGUGGUCCUCAAUCUCAGUUCAAUCCUCUGCCAUCGAUGCUCGCCGAACCAAACCAAACCUCAUUGACUUCUAGGCAUGCCGAUUGUAGUCGGUCUUAUAUCUCCUCAACGCGGUGGCGAUCUCCAAAAUAGGUGUGUCGAUGACCUCCGGUUCGGUGGUCGGCAACUCCUCCAAGACACAGUUAUUGAACUGUGAAUAGCCCUACCUUAAUAGGUCUGCCACUGAUUCCAGAAUAUGACAUACAUAUAUAUAUUAUUAUUUUUGAAAAUUUGUUAAACACAAUAAGGUGGACAAGAAGAUGCACCCUUGGUAUUUUCCUUUAUUUUUUUUAUUCACCAAGUGCAAAGUGCAAAUCCAUAACUUAUGUAAUGUUAUUAACAAAGUUAACCAAGUUUCUAGUAGAUGAACUAGAUUCACUCCAAGAAGCCAAAGCCAUCUCUCUCAUUUUCCAACUCAUUCUCUAAGCUUUCUCCCUUUUUCUGACUCCAUCAACUCCUUGACGCUUAUCUCCAAUUCAUCCCCAAACACAAACCCAUCUUUAUCUCUCUGUUCCACAACAAUCGUCAUUUCCAUGUCCUUCGCCAAAACACUCCUAUUCAAAUGUUGCUUUGCAUAGAGCGGCCAUGCCACCAUCAGCACGCUGGCAAUCACCACUUCAAGCACCCAGUUCCAGCCACAAUGCGUCACGAACCCGCCCACUGAUUCCUUCUUCAACAUCGCCACCUGCGGCGCCCAUGACUUCACCACCAAGCCCUAUCUUUGGUCCUCUCCAAGAACCCUUCUGGCAACAAACCCUCCAAAUCAAAGUCAUGAACUCCUUGGACCUGCUUGGUUUUCUCAUCAAGGGGAGGCUUCUUCACCAGCCAUAAAAACCUCUGUCCACUAUUCUCUUACCUAGCUACUAUCUCUUCAAUUGAGCCCUUGAGAAUUAUCCUCUGCUUCUAAAACAGAGAAACACCAUACUUCUACUUGGCUGCUAAUCAAGCUAUGACAAACAAUCUUCUAUCUCUGCAGAAUCCCCAGAUUAUUUUUCUUCAGCAAUCAACGACCCAAUGUAGUCGACAGGAGGAGUGAGAGCAUCAGAAACACAAAGACCUCCAUCAAUGGCUUUGAGGACUGCAUGAGGCUCGUGCUCUUCAAAUGUGUUGGCUAUGAUCCCAUUAGAUUUGGGAAGGUGGGAGCAGAAGUAGACCAUGUCCCGAU